rnacentral:rRNA from 1 species
AGUGAACGCUGGCGGUAGGCCUAACACAUGCAAGUCGAACGGCAGCACAGUAAGAGCUUGCUCUUACGGGUGGCGAGUGGCGGACGGGUGAGGAAUACAUCGGAAUCUACUUUUUCGUGGGGGAUAACGUAGGGAAACUUACGCUAAUACCGCAUACGACCUACGGGUGAAAGCAGGGGAUCUUCGGACCUUGCGCGAUUGAAUGAGCCGAUGUCGGAUUAGCUAGUUGGCGGGGUAAAGGCCCACCAAGGCGACGAUCCGUAGCUGGUCUGAGAGGAUGAUCAGCCACACUGGAACUGAGACACGGUCCAGACUCCUACGGGAGGCAGCAGUGGGGAAUAUUGGACAAUGGGCGCAAGCCGGAUCCAGCCAUACCGCGUGGGUGAAGAAGGCCUUCGGGUUGUAAGGCCCUUUUGUUGGGAAAGAAAAGCAGCAGGUUAAUACCCCGCUGUUCUGACGGUACCCAAAGAAUAAGCACCGGCUAACUUCGUG